rnacentral:misc_RNA from 1 species
AAGAGAGUAUCGUAUUAUUUCCAAGGAAGCAUUCUUGAUUACAUAUCAGGACUCGAUCUCUUCUGCAAUAAUUUGACAGGUAAAAUUCCUACUGAAAUAGGAAAUCUUAGCAAGAUCCAAGUGUUAAACUUGUCUCAUAACAGUUUGACAGGAUUGAUUCCGCAAUCAUUUUCAAACUUGAAGCAAAUUGAGAGCUUGGAUCUGUCCUACAACAAAUUGAAUGGCAAAAUCCCUCAACUCACUCAACUACAUUGGCUAGCUGUCUUCAGUGUAGCACACAACAAUUUAUCUGGCAAGACACCUGAGAUG